GAUGAACGCUGGCGGCGUGCCUAAUACAUGCAAGUCGAGCGAACAGACGAGGAGCUUGCUCCUCUGACGUUAGCGGCGGACGGGUGAGUAACACGUGGAUAACCUACCUAUAAGACUGGUAUAACUUCGGGAAACCGGAGCUAAUACCGGAUAAUAUAUUGAACCGCAUGGUUCAAUAGUGAAAGACGGUUUUGCUGUCACUUAUAGAUGGAUCCGCGCCGCAUUAGCUAGUUGGUAAGGUAACGGCUUACCAAGGCAACGAUGCGUAGCCGACCUGAGAGGGGGAUCGGCCACACUGGAACUGAGACACGGUCCAGACUCCUACGGGAGGCAGCAGUAGGGAAUCUUCCGCAAUGGGCGAAAGCCUGACGGAGCAACGCCGCGUGAGUGAUGAAGGUCUUCGGAUCGUAAAACUCUGUUAUUAGGGAAGAACAAAUGUGUAAGUAACUAUGCACGUCUUGACGGUACCUAAUCAGAAAGCCACGGCUAACUACGUG
rnacentral:rRNA from 1 species